rnacentral:rRNA from 1 species
UACGGAGGGUGCAAGCGUUAAUCGGAAUUACUGGGCGUAAAGCGCACGUAGGCGGUCUGUCAAGUCGGAUGUGAAAUCCCCGGGCUCAACCUGGGAACUGCAUUCGAAACUGGCAGACUAGAGUCUGGUAGAGGGUGGUGGAAUUCCAGGUGUAGCGGUGAAAUGCGUAGAGAUCUGAAGGAAUACCGGUGGCGAAGGCGGCCACCUGGACAGAGACUGACGCUGAGGUGCGAAAGCGUGGGGAGCAAACAGG